AGAUUGAACGCUGGCGGCAUGCCUAACACAUGCAAGUCGAACGGGAGUAGCAAUACUCUAGUGGCGGACGGGUGAGGAAUACGUAGGAAUUUGCCCUUAAGUGGGGGAUAACCCGGGGAACCCGGAUUAAUACCGCAUGACCUCGAAAGAGCAAAGUGGGGGAUCGCAAGACCUCACGCUUUUGGAGAAGCCUACGUCGGAUUAGCUAGUUGGUGAGGUAAUGGCUCACCAAGGCGACGAUCCGUAACUGGUCUGAGAGGAUGAUCAGUCA
rnacentral:rRNA from 1 species